CCCCCACUAUGGGGCAACGUGCCGCGAGCACUCCUCAAGCUCUUCGGCUUGUCGGGGCCCGAACAACGAUGCCCCCCUCUGAACAUAGAAAAGGAAAUACGUGCCAGAACGGACGACACACUUUCGUUCCUUCUUUCGCCCGCUCUUUCCACUCUUCCUUCUGUCUCUCGCCGUUUCCUCUCGUCUUCGUUUUUCCAUCACAGCGGCGAUACUUUUCCUCCCGAUCGUUCAUUUUCUCUAAUUCCAAUCUCUACGAAUAACUCUCGAAUACGAAUCAGUGUGGUCGAAGCGUGGUAAGCGUGCGGUUCUUCUCGUCCCAAAAUCCGAUAGUUUUUUUCCCCCCCCAUCUCGACGAACGGAAGAUCGAUCAUUCUCUUCUUUUUCUUUUCUUUUUUUUGGCGGACGCGUGCCACGACACGCAAAACGCAAGAAAGGCGCGCGUUCUUUUACGUGCUCUUUUCUUUCCCUUCCUUCGUGAAUAAGGAUCGUCGAAUCCUCGCUGCGCGAGACAUAUCGAAUUUGUGGUCGAUCGUAUUCCAGAUACGAGGGGGACGAAACGAACAGAUGCCGUUCUUCGUCGUCCAAGUGGUUAAAUUUCCGUGACUCGGUUACGUUGUUCGCGGCCGAUCGAUCGAAACCACUUUCCUUCGUUCGAUCGGCUCGUUUUCGUUUUCAACGUGCACGCUCGUCACAGAUCGAUUUUUCAUCGGCGAUGAUCAAUCACGCGAUCGAUCUAUUCGCUGGCUCGCGAUACUUUCUCCGCAGAUCUGUCGAUAAUCUGGCACAGUUACGCGCGAUCCUCGGCCUCGGCUCGCAACGAAACAUGUGUGUCACGUCAGAUUGGAUAUCUGCGCGCGUGAAAUCCUCCCAUUCCGCGAGGAGUAGCCGCGAAAACGAUAAUUCUUGGCGAAAUGGAACGAUGUUGUUGAAUCGUAACGCUUUCUAACCGCUGCAUUUGUUCUUCCUUUCGACAAUGAAGGACGACCCCGGCUUUCGAUCGUUGGCCUUUCGAUCGCGGAUCGAUUGAUUGUCAUUGGCUAAAUUAUUCAGUUCUGAGUGGAAUAUAAGUGAACGCUUCGGUUUUCUAAAACAGUUUGGUAUAAGAGUACGCGAGGAGAAUGGAACAAAUCGCGUUUCUCGUUUCUCACAAGGUGACCAAGAGAGUUUUGUAGAGUUUCAAUUUUUCUUCUUUCUUUUUCCCUUUUUGAAUUUCUAGAGAUUUCAGGAAAAACGAUUUCUUCGUUUUUUUUUUCAAUCGUUGUAAAUUUAAUUAAUUUGGUAUAGAGAUUUUAACAAGCAGUUCGACCAAAGUGUCGAAAGUAAAGCGAGAAACAACUUUCGAGAGAUUUGGUCAGUUUCGCUCGAUAUUUUUGUCAAACGAGAAUGUGACGGUUCGUUAAAGUUUUCGCGCGAGGGUGUCGUACGAUCUCUGCGCUGGUGGCGAUAAUGGUGAUGACGAUGAAUCGGUCGUAAAUCGGUUUCGUUUCGUCUCUAAAUUUCCACGCUCUUUUGCUUUAUCCCUCGACGAGGGGAAAAGUUUCUUUUAGAAACUUUAUAGAUUUUUAUAUUCCCGGCCUGUAAGAAGAUUCUAAAUUAUUCGCGAUUUCCCCCUUUUUGUAAUAAUUAAUGAUUAUUCGGAACUGGACGCUUGAUUCCACGAUUUAUGUUCUCAUCUUUUUCCACGCGAGAAGAUAGAAAUCGUGGAAAUGUCUGGAUGUAACCGUAGUUUCUGAAAAAAAUCAACGAGAUUUAUAUUUAUACCUUUUAUUCCAUCCUACGUGCGCAAAUUCACGGCAUCGAUCUUCAUUUCUUUCAUUCUCUCGACACUCGAAACGGAAUGCGACUCGUAAAACGCCGGACGAUCCGAUCUUGUACCGAUCUAUGAUCGAUGCAUACGUGAUAACGAUUAUUUCCUCUCCAUAACGAUAAAUGAUCUUGCUAUUCAAUUCUUUUUUUUUUUUUUUUUAAUUAAUCUGGAUCAAUAUUCUUCUACAUAAAUUACGUUAACUCGAAAAUGAUCGAUGCGGUCAUUUUGAUCGAAAUCAUGGAAAAAAGCUUCUUAAAAAAGUACCCCGAGACAAGAUCGAGCGGUCGUUUCGUAUUUGGAAAUUAACGAGCAAUCGAGCAUGAAGCCUUGGCGCGCCAGGCUUCUGUCUUAAUUGAUUUUUCGUAAGUAGCGUGGUUAUAAUGCUACUUACAACGAGCAAACCCAGUCAGAUUUAUUUUCGCUUUACGACACAAGUCGCUUAAUAACUUGGACCACGAUCUCUGCCUCUCUUUGGACAAGUUGGAUAAAGUUGCGGAGGAGAGAGAGCCAGAUUGUUACCUUAAUGUCCUCAUUAAUUACAUCGCGUGUUACGUUAUGUAACGGUUAUUCCUUCUCGUUGAUUCUUCUCCCCUCUUCGUUCCGAUUCAGGAUCUCGAAUGAUUUAAUCCAAGAUUUCGGUACUUUGCGAUCCUUGCCGCGAAAGAAACGAGUCCCGUGCAACUUUUUUCCCCGUCUCCGUUACGUUAUAAAGUCGUCGUUAUUACGUCCGAAUUUGUUUCGCCUCUGCUACCCUCAGACUCGAUCUAACGUCGAAGACCAAUUAAAAAAGGACUCGGGGAGGGAGGGAAAGUUUCGUUCGACCGUUCAUUUACGAUUUACUCCGGCUUAUGCAAACGAAGCCUUAUCACGCGUUUGGCGUGGCUAAAGAACGGUCGUAUAGUGGCAAAUGAUAAGGAUAUCGAGCGGAAGCAAUGAAACGUUUAGGGUGAAAAUACGGCGGAUAUUUUUUGCUCGAAUGUUAAAAGGCUAAGCGAAAGCGUCGGAGAUAGCAUCAAGAAAUUGGCCGUUUACGGAUGAAAGCGUCGCGCGUAUUCUCCUACCAAUAAUGAUAGGAUGACCACGGGAACAUUGGAAAAUUUACGACACAGCGAAGAAAGUAAUAACGACCGGGUAUAUAAAUACAACGUUAAUUAGACCAGUCGCACGAUGGGCCUUAUAUUUCCUCUCUACCCGCUGGCCUCUCUCUUUCCACCUCUCUGGGAACGUAUUUUUGAAACGAAAGCCGACUUCUUCCGGUUGGAGACAAUCGGCCAACAGACUCUCGUCCGGGCCCGAUUUCCGGACAAGAUUCUAUCUCCGCCCUUAAUUUCUAUCGUGAGAUCGAGAUUACGAGGUAAAUAAAAAAAGAUAAAGGGUCGUACGUUAGAUGUACAGUUACAUAAGAGUCCCAAAGAUUCGAAAGGAUUAGAUGGAGACUUAACUCGUUGGCGUUAUACGUUGUAAAAGGAGAAUUUUACAUGUAGGGAGAUUGAGGUAUUCAAAUAAAAAAUUCGAGUUUCAACUUAGAAAUUGUUAAGAAGGCUCGUCGACGCCGUGUGUUAGUUGAGAAGAGAAUAUCACGAAACGUGUUCGCAACGUGUUUCAAAGAUCCCGCGAAUAUCGGUUAAGGAUUGGAAAAAGAAAAAGUUUUAAAGUAUCACUCGAAGGAGAAAGAUCGUUGUAUCGUAGAAAUUGGAAAAUUGGAAAACAGUAAGGAGAUAGGAAAGUCGAAAAAGGCGGACGAUAUUUCGUUACAAACGAGCACCUUCCAUACGUUGUGCAUAAAUGGGGAAAUAUAACUUGGAAAAUUACUACCUUCCUGGAAAAAAGUCUGUAUCGGUAUCGGGGAAUCUGCAAAGUGACUCGGUACUGCUUAAGUACCGUGAUUACACCAUGAACAGAUCCACAUAUCCGAGACUAUAACUUACUUCUCUAUUGUGAAUCUCUUCGUGCAAGUUUUUGCAAUUAGGCGAGUCGGAGGAGACGUUCUUUGAAAAAUUCCUCAUUUUUUUUUCUUUUUUUUCUUUUUUUUUUCUUUAUUAGUUUCUCUCGAGACUCGAAUAGUAUCCCGAAACUAUACGAAGUAACUUGAGAUUUCUUGAUUCAAACUAAAUUUAACGUUUUAACGGUGUUUUUUUUCUUAAAGGAAUUUUAAAAAAAGGAACUGGUAAUUUUCGAAUACUGCGAGUUUGUAAUCUUCCCGAUGAAAAGGGGAACGCGAACGGGGUCUUUAACAGUUUUUACAUUUCUUCUCUUGUUACAUAAAAACGAAAAAAAAAAAUUAAUCUUACUACAAAUAUUAUUUACAAAUAUCAUAUUCCCAUCUACGAUAAAUUUAUUCUCUUCCACAAAUUAAUUUCAGCAAUUAAAUACGUAUUUUGUUGCUUCAACCGCACGUUAGAUCGCAGUUAUAAAUGAUUUAUAAGAUGAAUUACAAUUUAUCAUUAGCACCCGUGGACAAUUUGUUAUUCUUCUAAAUAUCCCGACAGUUUGCACAAAUAAAAAAGACGCGUCUUCUCCAUUCUCCAUUUCUAGAAUCCGAUUCUUCCCGUUCGAAAUCGGAUCGAUCCCCGAUCGCCCGGCAUUCGAUUCGAGAUAAAGUAUCGUUGCGUUUCCCUCUCGAGCCCCGGUCAAUUUCUAUCCAUAAAGCUUGGAAAAUGAUGGCGUUCGCACGCGAGAGCGUGGUGCUCGUGCACAGUUUAGCCACCACGGUAGGUAGAUUCCACGCGUGGAAGAAACAGGAGCACCGGCCACCACACGUUAUAAAUAUUGAUCGUGCGUGCCAAGACUCCCGCUUGAAAUUAUCUCGGGCAUCGCGAGGAUCGAUCACGUUUGUUAAUCACGUUCCUUCUCGCCGACAGGUAGCCGCUGUCCAGCUAUAACACGACCACCUGUGCCAGCCUCGUCUUCCUCUAAAUCCCCCUCCUCUCCUUCCCUCCUUAAUCGUUAUUCGCCACCUCCUCGCGUCGUUUAACCGAUAUUAUUAGCGAAAUUUUAUAAGUCACUGGUUUUACGAGUUAUACCAAUACCCAUAAAUUCUCUCCUCCGUGUUACGUAGUAAUAAAACUUGUCCGAUAAAACAGGAAAAUUCUCUGCCUACUCUUGGUAAAUCGUGCAAAUUACAACGUGUAGCUUAAUUGUCCCGUUUCGAGAGAAGGACAGGCCGAGGGUUUCCGGAAAUUGUGGAACUUUGCAUGCGAAUGGUGCGAUGGAUUCGAAACACGGAAUAAUUAUUAGAAAUUCAGGGUGUCGAUCGAGCAACGUUGUAACGAAAUCGCUUGAUCGAGGCACGAUCAAAUUUUUCGUGUUCACGAAUCGUGUUCGCCAUCGUCGUUUUUUUUUUUUGAACGAGAUUAAUGUAUCGAGAGAUCGAAUAAAAUCGUUAGAUCGAAUCGAGCGAAGUUUUGCCGCGGUUUUCACGUUCAACGAUCAUGAGAACUCGUCUGCUAGUUGCACGGAAUUAGCAUAUGCUGAUUCUCAAUUUUUAAGGCGCCGUUUGACAGAUGGAAUCGCGAAUAAGGUUCGGUAAGGAGGAAAUUCUGGUUCUGUGAGAAAGUCGGGGCGAAACCAAUUAGCGAGAGGCUACGAUUCCAUCUUAAUAAACCGUUAAUUAGACGAACGAUAUGUCUUUGGAACGAUUUUUCUCUCGUGAGAAAUGCGCGUAUAUGCGCGUUUUAAUAAAACGAAACGUUAGCCACGCGGUGUAGAUCGGUGUUUACUUUCAUCUACGCGUUGUUGCUUGGAAAUUAAUUAAAACCGUGAAUGAAAUAGAACCCUUAACAAUAGACACGGUAAUGUAAAAGUGUGUUCUUCGGAUUGUUGUGAGAACUGGGUAAUUUCGAGCAAUUAACGAAAACGGAACGUUAAUAUGCGCAUCCGAUUUAACGGUAAGGAGAAGCUCGUGAAAAGAGAAGAGAAUUUAUGAGAAUUUCGUCAGAGAAAGGCUCUGAAAUUUUUGUUUUCAUGCCUCGAAUAUCAUUCGGAACGUUCUUUUUUUUUUUUCGGUUACUGCUAAUCGAGAGAUUAAGAAGAAUUUAGCGGAUUUUUCCAAAAAUUUAACAAUAUCGACAAUUUCGUCAAACACUUACGUCAAAUAAAAGAAGAUUUAAUAUCGAAAUUCCAGAAAUGUCACCUAUUUCAAAUUCGUUCGUUCGGGAAUCAAAUAGUUUAUCUUUUAUCGCGAUAUCGUUAUUAACGAAUCGAUACGUCGAACGUGAAUAAUUAUUGGAGAAUGGUUGUUCCGAUCGUACACGAGAUAACGAAACGAUUCGUUUUCCAAACGUUCUGCCUCUAGAACUGGCUCUCACCAUGGGAAAUGGACAAUUAGUUUGGAAGCCGGUUACGGAGAAAAGUAAAAGUCGCGAGCGCAUCGCUAAUAUAGAUUAGAAAUUCGCGAUGGAACGUUUAUCCCGGUUAAAAAGGAUAAUUAAGCCCGUGUUGCGUUUACGCGCGAGGAUUAUACCCGUGUUACGAAAGUGGAAAGGAACGCUGUAGGCGUGCGGUGCGUGCCGCGUAUUAAUUCCUCUAUAAUCGAGUGUAUAUCUCGUUCCUUAUUUUUCACCAUCGCUCUCCCUAAUCGGAAUAAUGCCUUAACUGGAUCGUGUAAUGGCCUCCCCACCGAAUACUAAUUAUUUUACAAAUAAACGCGUCGCGCGAUUUUUCACGUUUAAACGAUCUUUUUGCGUUACUCACUUUGCUGCCAAAGCCUUUUUUCUUCGUUUACUCGGCAAAAACCGCUGAUCGCAUUAGAUACUAUUGAUUAAUAUUGGAUAGGUAACCAUUUCGAAGCGCUAGUAGCGCUAAACCUAUCUUAAACCGUAUCUCCGAUACAUAUAUCCACCUCUAACGCGACAAUUAUAAUUUUAUUUUAAUUUGAUUUUAUUCGAACGUGUGCAGCGAAACUAAAUAUAUAAAAUCGUGUAAAAGUUCACUCCUCUUUCUGGAUACGACAGAAGAUUCAGAAUCCAGAAUCGGGGAUUCGAAUUUCAAGGAUUUAUCUCUCGGCUCUCGAUCUCCCUUCCUCUUAAUUUUUCUCGUGAUUCCGUAAGAAACGAACGUUUCCGUCACGCUCGCAAUCGGAUAAAAUCGAGAGCAUUCCGUACACGCGUCACGUUCCCCACGCUUUUAAUCUCUUUGUAAUCUGUGGGGUGCUCGUGGAGGCUGGCGAGGAACAGACAACUUGCUAGUCCGCUUACACGGUUAACUGUAAAUGUGUGCUUGUAUUUGUCCGCGUGUAUCUUCAUUCCACGACGGGAUGAAACUAUCGCUUCUUUGGCCACCAUGUUCGAAGUAACAGGUUUUACAAACGAGGAUUUGUCCGUGAAAAAAAUAUUGUAAAUGCUGAAUUCUCCAACCCUCCGCAUUAUACGCGUUAAUGAGGUGCCAAGAAGAUUAAUUUCUGAUUCAUUGUUUAUCGAUGCUUUUACCUCGUUAAAUCGCUUCGAGUUCGAUGUUGAUUCGAUGAGAUUUAUAUUCGCGAUUCUUUGAUAUACCAUGAAAUUAGGAAUAUUAAAAAACAUUUAUAUGUUUAUAUUUGUUAAUACAUUUGCAACGGUAUCGAUAUCGCAAAGAUAAUUGCUAAAUAAUUGCCAAUAAAGGAAUAUAACGAAUCGAGGUGAUUAGCCGAAAACGAACGAUUAUCUGGUAACGUUUCGUAUCGAGGAUCCAUUUAAAAUUGAUCGACACCAGUUUUAAAAAAUUUCUUGAUUUUCAACGAAAGAAUUCUUCGGAAAAGAAACGGUUAUCUCUGAUGAAUUUGAUCGUGAAUUUAGUUAUGUACCUCAUUUGUCUCAGAUUUUUUGUCAAAUCUUGAUUCGAUAAAAAAUAUCGUGUUAUCGUUGAAUCGAUUAUUUUAAUUUGAAGAAUUUUUAGCUCUAACGAUUUAUAAAAUGUCGCGUUUGGAUACAAUCGAAGACAAUUAGAUCAUCAAUGUUAAUUCGAUGCGACGACCCACAUAUACCGCUGAGAUUGACAUUUCAAGGAAACGUUGAAAUUGAUGUAGCAUCGAUGACAAUCGUUUAUGGUUUCGCAUUUGUCGAUCGCCACAAGAUAAAAGAAAUUCUGAACAAUUUGUGCGAGUCAAUUGGCUGAUUAAUCGCGAUACUACGUCGUAAAAAGAGCGAUUUUUUUUCGAGUCGAGUUCGACGAAGAAAAGAAUCUCGCUAAAAACAUCGAGAAUUUCUAAUAAAUCACAGAUACGCGUCGAAAGUGUCCGUAAUUGAUUGAAAGUACUAUAGUCAGAAAAAUUCGAAAUAGUUUAUGGCCUAAAAAGAAAGUUUAAUCUAUUUUUACGGAGAAGCUUCCACUUGGUCACAGUCGAUUAAGACCGUAAUUAUUAAUAGUGGUCAGAAUUUUUUUGUUGGUAGCAACAAAUAAACUUCGAUAUAUGGAUACCGAAUAAAAAACUCGUUGGGAUCGUUCGAUUCGCUUUCCAUCAUGAAUCGUGAUCCACCCACCUUUAAUCCUGUAUAAUAGAUACGAGAAGAAUAUCCACUUUCUUGCUACUGUGCUCGAAUCCUCUAUUCGUCAUACGACGAUUCCACACGGUAUCGUAUGAUUGAUUGAUGAAAAACUGGCGGAACGAUCGAGUUAAACGGAUCCUACGUAUCGAAUAAAAAAGAAAAGUCGAUUGAUCGAUAACGUGAAUCUCGUUAUCAAGUUGACGAAUAGCUAAUUUCGCGAGACAACUUUCACGACUUUUUUUAGGUUAAAAUUUUCUGUCUCUAGGAACCGGUAAACUUUCGAAUACUUUCGUCAGUGUCAUAGAUGAAAUCGAGAUUGCAACGGAUGUAAAACAAAUUAGAAUGAAGUUGUAAACAUCCGUUGAAAUUUUCAAUGUUGCAUGCGCUUGGAAAGUACAGUUUACGUUUUAUUAUCGAACGAUUGAAAGUAAGAUCUAGCGAGACCGUCGUAUCCACUUCGAUACGAGCUAAUAUUUCGAAAUAUGUGUCUCGACUGAUAAAACCCUCAAUUUUAAUAAAAACAAAAAAGGAUGCGAAAUUGCCUUGGAAUUGAUCUUGCGUGAUAGUCGAAAUUUAUCAGAUGAGCGAAAGAAAAAAAAAAUAUAGACAAACAUAUUGUUUAGAGAAAUUCGUGUAAUUGUAUUUCUCUAUGAUUUUUUUAUUCCACAUAGUAGAAGAAAAUAGACCGAAGAAGAUUGCGAGAGUAUAAAUUAUCACGAGUAUAAAUUAUCAAUUUCUCUUGUUCGAAAUCUCGCGAUUAUAUCGGAAUAGCGUUAACGUGAAUCCUGUUUUUCGAGGAAAAUGUAGAAAAAGUGUGAAUAAUAACGGUGAAUAGUGUAAAAACGAAUCGGUACAGGAACAUCCAUUUAGUUUUAUCCAAGAGAGCGUAAUGACUGCCCGUGUGUUUUGAAGACAAUUAACCUAUUUCUUUUGUGAUCUCUUUCUGUCAGCUGGUUAAAAACACGUAGCAUGAAAUUCUCGUAAUUGAAACGUCGUUCGUCACUCAGAAAUUGUAGCGAGAAAGUUCAGCUCUAAGUAAAUGAAAGAAUUGCGUACGAAUCAACGUGUAACAAUGUAUCUAUUUGGGGAUCGUUAACGAACACAUUCAUACAACGUAAUAAUAUUUCUGGAAAUAAUUGAAAUUUUCAGAUGCAAAUAUUAAAUAUGUACAUAUUCUUCUGGGAAAUUUAUUCCAUGAAUACAUUCAUCUUCUCCCAAUGACAAACGUUUGCUUUUAUCGAAAGAUCGUAUUUUACAUUCUCAUUUCAUAUUCGAGUGUACAAGUAAUAUAUUUUUUCUAAAAAUUUAUUUCUUGUUAAUCGUGUAAAUAUUAGACGGGGAAGUAAUAUAUUCAAGCUGGUUACAGUUUCUGCGAAUGAUCUCGCUUCUCGUUACAUUCGUGCCAAGAUUUUAAAUUUUUAUGGGAUUAAGAGGAGGACAAUGAGAUUCGAAUGAGUUGAUGAAACAAUCAUUGCACGUUGGUGCAGUAUUUCACGUAAAAAGAAGAAAAAGUAACGGUGAGCAGGUUCAGCCAGAAAUGCAAGCAGGAUGAAAGUGAUUUUUUUUAGAAAUCUUGGCAAUCGAUCUUGCCAAACUGUCAAGUCUAUAAGACGCUUUAUCUUGACGUGUGGGAAGCAAUUGAACGAGUACGUCUUUUUUGCAAAACAUUAAAUUUUAUUUAUAAACGUAUUAGAACGAUUUUAAAUUUAUUUAAACAAUAAAAAAAUUAAUUUUAUUCGUAAAUUUAUUAAAAAAAUAUAUUAUUUUUGAAUUAAAAUUCCAUUUUUUCGUCUGAAAAAUAAAAUGACGAAUUGUAAAAAAUACGACGUGAAAAGUACGUUAAAUACAUUAAAUAUAAAAAGUUAAUGAAUGCU